AGAGUUUGAUCAUGGCUCAGAACGUACGCUGGCGGCACGCCUAACACAUGCAAGUCGAACGAAGUAGCAAUACUUAGUGGCAGACGGGUGAGUAACAUGUAGGAAUCUUCCCUAUGGCCUGGAAUAACACGAGGAAACUUGUGCUAAUACCGGAUAAGUCUUUACAGAGAAAGCUUUAUGCACCAUUGGAUGAGCCUGCACUUGAUUAGUUUGUUGGUGGGGUAAUGGCCUACCAAGACUUUGAUCAAUAGCUGAUUUGAGAGGAUGAUCAGCCACAUUGGGACUGAGACACGGCCCAAACUCCUACGGGAGGCAGCAGUGGGGAAUCUUGCACAAUGGAGGAAACUCUGAUGCAGCGAUGCCGCGUGAGUGAAGAAGGCCUUUGGGUUGUAAAGCUCUUUCGUCGGGGAAGAAAAUGACUGUACCCGAAUAAGAAGGUCCGGCUAACUUCGUGCCAGCAGCCGCGGUAAUACGAAGGGACCUAGCGUAGUUCGGAAUUACUGGGCUUAAAGAGUUCGUAGGUGGUUGAAAAAGUUGGUGGUGAAAUCCCAGAGCUUAACUCUGGAACUGCCAUCAAAACUUUUCAGCUAGAGUUUGAUAGAGGAAAGCAGAAUUUCUAGUGUAGAGGUGAAAUUCGUAGAUAUUAGAAAGAAUACCAAUUGCGAAGGCAGCUUUCUGGAUCAUUACUGACACUGAGGAACGAAAGCAUGGGUAGCGAAGAGGAUUAGAUACCCUCGUAGUCCAUGCCGUAAACGAUGUGUGUUAGACGU
rnacentral:rRNA from 1 species